rnacentral:lncRNA from 1 species
GAAGGAGCGGCGCCGCUCCGGCAGCCGACACCCAGCGGAGGAUGAUGAGGGUCUGCAUCGCGGUGCUCCUGGUCCUUCAGUCCCUGCCGGGGAAGGCAGAGCUCCAAGAUGACAUGGAGGAGAUCGCACAGGAUUUAUAUGACUACAUGGCUCAUUUAAGCAAACACCAUUGGAUAUGUGGAUUGGGACAAGUUGUUUCCAGAAGAGAAUGCCACCACCAAGGUUCCAGAAGUACCAAACACAAAAGCUCCGGGGGAUUCCAGGGAUGCUAAGGACAGUCAGGUGGGUGCCUGUCAGCUCAGGAGCUCUGCCACAGGCUUUUAGCACAAUAAAACACGGGACUUCCUGACUGAUUUAUUUUCCUUGGCUCACCAGGAUUUCCAGGAGUCAUUGGGAUCGUCCCUGCAGGGCCACCUCACCCUCACCAUCCUCCUCAGCUGCCUGGGUCUCCUGCUAUGAUGCCCAGACUCCUCCUCCAAAGGUACUCUGGGAUUUCAACACUCACUCAAAGUGUGUCCUUGAACCCAGAGAAAUCCAAUUCUUUCUGAAGCAGCAACUUUCCAGAACAAUGGAAAGAUAACAAGCCCUUCCAGGCAGAUAACAGCCCAUCCAGCUGCGACAUCAGGGAACUCCUCAGCAGCUCUGACCACCACUGAUGGCCUGGAGAAGCUUUCCAGGGCAUUUUCCCUGUUGGUAUUCAGUGGGACCUUCACGGGGUGUGAGGAACCAGGCACCUCCUGCUGCUCCUCCACCAAAACACCAUUCCCUAAAACCCUGGAACGGUUUGGGUUGGGAUGAACCUCACAGACCAGCUGGUUCCACCCUCCUGCCCAGCUUCCUCCAAAGCUCCAUCCCACCUGGCCAACUUUUCCCCACAGCUGGAGCUCUCCAACAUCCCAGGAGGUGGCCAACCUCCAUCCUGCCACACCCUGCUCACCUUUUUCCCUCCUUCCAGACACCGUGGCUGGGAUGGCGACCAGGACAUUGUCAGGUGUUGACGAUGACAUCCUCUCCACGAGGUGUUGUCUCUGUUCCAGAACUGCUGAGAUGUUUUGUCUGGAGGUUUUGGUGGAAAGCCGAUGCCGAGCAUGGAGAGCUCAGCAACCUUUCAGUCCUUUCCUGUUUCCUUGGAUUCCGCUGUAAAUAAGAACCUCUGCCAAUAAAAUCCCCAACACCUGGUGCACGGCGUCUCAUGGUAAAUAAUCCAGCACUGGAAAAACAAAUGCAAACAAUGCAUGCAAGUGCUUGUCCCAUCAGAAGGAUUUCUCAAGCCUCUAAACCCAGCCAGGUGCUUCCAACUUUGUUUCUUCCAGAACUGCUCUUCACACUGUUUAUUUUCCAAAACACACACAAUAUCUGGGUGUGAUGAGAAGCUGGAUCAGAAAACCUCCCACCAGCCCAACCCCUCCAUGGAGAGCAAACUGUCGCAGAAAUGGGUGAUUUUGGUCAGGAAAUCAGAGUUAAAUUCCUUUUUGCGGGGGGAAAAAAUGCAAUCCCACACUCGGUGCCUAUGUUGCUUUUCCUUGGGAGAGUCAGCAGGAAGGAGAGAUGGAAAACUGGCCCAGGUGUGUCCAGGUAACCCUAUAGGACAAAAGAGGUUGAGUCAAGCCAACAGGAGAACCGUGGUAGUCCCAGUGCCCAGAGCCCUCAGAUCUCUCCAGAAACCUCCUGGAUCCCGGGGGAAUCUCCCGAGCCGCCAGAGCAGGUACGACCCAUCCCACCUGCACCCACGGAGCAGCCCCGGGGCCAGCCCACCAUUCCCAGGUUAUCCAAGCCCACAGCCUUGGAAAGAAGAAAAGUUUUGUUUCCUGCAGAAGGUAAAAAGCUCGAAACGCGUUCAGAAGCGGCGGGAGGAGCGAGAGCGGAUGCGCUGCCUGGCAGUGCCACCUCCUGGCUCUGUGCUGCCAUAAAGGUGGAUUGAGAAGAGCCAAGAACGCCCCGGAAAAUUAUUCAGAAUCACACAGCAGUGAGAUUUCCAACCCUGGAGUGGAGUAAAAAGCAAUUAAAGGGAAAUAAAAUAUGUG